rnacentral:rRNA from 1 species
UAACGGCGAGUGAAGCGGCAACAGCUCAAAUUUGAAAUCUGGCCCUCGGGUCCGAGUUGUAAUUUGCAGAGGAUGCUUUUGGUGAGGUGCCUUCCGAGUUCCCUGGAACGGGACGCCAUAGAGGGUGAGAGCCCCGUCUGGUCGGACACCAAUCCUUUGUAAAGCUCCUUCGACGAGUCGAGUAGUUUGGGAAUGCUGCUCUAAAUGGGAGGUAUAUGUCUUCUAAAGCUAAAUACCGGCCAGAGACCGAUAGCGCACAAGUAGAGUGAUCGAAAGAUGAAAAGCACUUUGAAAAGAGAGUUAAACAGUACGUGAAAUUGUUGAAAGGGAAGCGCUCAUGACCAGACUUGGGCUUGGUUGAUCAACUUGGGUUCUCCCGGGUGCACUCUUCCUCGUCCAGGCCAGCAUCAGUUCGCUGCGGGGGAUAAAGGUUUCGGGAAUGUGGCUCCCUCGGGAGUGUUAUAACCC